rnacentral:lncRNA from 1 species
AUGAACCCAGUUUCUUUUCUCGAUCCGCGGAACGAUCCCAGCCUCUUCCCCGGGCUGGGCACGGGCAGUUUUACAUCUGCUGUCCAGACGCCGCGGUGCCACAAGCUCAUUAAGGGAUCGGCGCUGCAGCAGGGCCAUCUGUCAGGUGUCUCCCUUGUGUGCGUGUCCCUUGCGCCCAGGGAGGCGCCGGCCCGUUCGGUGCCGGGGAGGGCGGGGACUCCUCUGCAGAGCGGGUUCAGGGGGAAGCCCCCGGCCCCGCGUCCCCGGCUGCCCAGCAGCCCCUCCCGGCCGUGCCCGCGGUACCUGCGCGGCGGCGGGCGGCGGCCCCCGCUCGUAGAGCGCGGCGGGCGCCCGUGUGCGCGGGUCGAGCGGCGUGCGGAGGCAGGAGGCGGCCAGGCGGGCGGCCCGGUGCGCGUCCUCCAUGCCGGGCCGCGGGCAGCGAGCGCAGGGAGGCGGGCGGGAGCGCAGGGAGGCGGGCAGCGAGCGCAGGGAGGCGGGCAGGGAGCGCAGGGAGGCGGGCAGCGAGCGCAGGGAGGCGGGCAGCGAGCGCAGGGGGGCGGGCAGGGAGCGCAGGGGGGCGGGCGGGAGCGCAGGGGGGCGGGCAGGGAGCGCAGGGGGGCGGGCAGGGAGCGCAGGGGGGCGGGCAGGGAGCGCAGGGGGGCGGGCAGGGAGCGCAGGGAGGCGGGCAGGGAGCGCAGGGAGGCGGGCGGGAGCGCAGGGGGGCGGGCAGCGAGCGCAGGGGGGCGGGCAGGGAGCGCAGGGAGGCGGGCAGGGAGCGCAGGGAGGCGGGCAGGGAGCGCAGGGAGGCGGGCAGGGAGCGCAGGGAGGCGGGCAGGGAGCGCAGGGAGGCGGGCAGGGAGCGCAGGGAGGCGGGCAGGGAGCGCAGGGAGGCGGGCAGGGAGCGCAGGGAGGCGGGCAGCGAGCGCAGGGAGGCGGGCGGGAGCGCAGGGGGGCGGGCAGCGAGCGCAGGGGGGCGGGCAGGGAGCGCAGGGAGGCGGGCAGGGAGCGCAGGGAGGCGGGCAGCGAGCGCAGGGAGGCGGGCAGCGAGCGCAGGGAGGCGGGCAGGGAGCGCAGGGAGGCGGGCAGGGAGCGCAGGGAGGCGGGCAGCGAGCGCAGGGG